AAAAAGGAGAGAAGGACAUUCCUGG
rnacentral:piRNA from 1 species